rnacentral:rRNA from 1 species
GAUGAACGCUGGCGGCGUGCUUAACACAUGCAAGUCGAACGUGAUACUUGGUGCUUGCAUCGAGUUGAAAGUGGCGAACGGGUGAGUAACACGUUGGUGACCUACCCCGAGGAGGGGAAUAACCGUGGGAAACCAUGGCUAAAACCCCGGAUGUCUAUGGUGUUAGAGGCUGUAGACUAAAACUCCGGUGCCUCGGGAGGGGCCUGCGGGCUAUCAGCUAGUUGGUGAGGUAAUGGCUCACCAAGGCUAAGACGGCUAGGGGGCGGGAGAGCGCGACCCCCCACAAUGGAACUGAGACACGGUCCAUACUCCUACGGGAGGCAGCAGUGAGGAAUAUUGCGCAAUGGGGGCAACCCUGACGCAGCAACGCCGCGUGGACGAUGAAGGCCCUCGGGUCGUAAAGUCCUUUUCUGAGGGAAGAUAAUGACGGUACCUCAGGAAUAAGUCCCGGCUAACUACGUGCCAGCAGCCGCGGUAAAACGUAGGGGGCGAGCGUUAUCCGGAUUUACUGGGCGUAAAGCGCACGUAGGCGGCGCUGUAAGUUGGAUGUGAAAGCUCCCGGCUUAACUGGGAGAGGCCGUUCAAUACUG